UGUGGGCAUGCUGGCAUGUUCCUGUAGUCCUAGCUACUUGGGAGGCUGAGGAGGGAGGAUCGCUUGAGCCCAAGAGUUCUGGGCUGUAGUGUGCUAUGCUAAUCAGGUGGCCAGUUUGGCAUCAAUAUGGUGACCCUGGGAGCAGGAGACCACCAGGUUGCCUAAGGAGGUCAGAAAUGGAGCAGGUUAAAACUCUCAUGCUGAUCAGUGGUGGGGUCAUGCCUGUGAAUAGCUACUGCACUCCAACCUGGGCAACAUAGUGAGACCCUACCC
rnacentral:SRP_RNA from 10 species